rnacentral:rRNA from 1 species
UACGUAGGGUGCGAGCGUUAAUCGGAAUUACUGGGCGUAAAGCGUGCGCAGGCGGUGAUGUAAGGCCGAUGUGAAAUCCCCGGGCUUAACCUGGGAACUGCAUUGGUGACUGCAUCGCUCGAGUAUGGCAGAGGGGGUUAGAAUUCCACGUGUAGCAGUGAAAUGCGUAGAGAUGUGGAGGAAUACCGAUGGCGAAGGCAGCCCCCUGGGUCAAUACUGACGCUCAUGCACGAAAGCGUGGGGAGCAAACAGG